CGAUUCUAGCUCAGGAUGAACGCUAGCUACAGGCUUAACACAUGCAAGUCGAGGGGUAACAGGAGAGAAGCUUGCUUUCUUGCUGACGACCGGCGCACGGGUGAGUAACGCGUAUCCAACCUUCCCCUUAGUAGGGCAUAGCCCGUAGAAAUGCGGAUUAAUACCCUAUGUUAUUCGUCGAGGACAUCUGAAGUGAAUCAAAGGUUUACCGCUAAGGGAUGGGGAUGCGUCUGAUUAGGCAGCAGGCGGGGUAACGGCCCACCUGGCCGACGAUCAGUAGGGGUUCUGAGAGGAAGGUCCCCCACAUUGGAACUGAGACACGGUCCAAACUCCUACGGGAGGCAGCAGUGAGGAAUAUUGGUCAAUGGUCGAGAGACUGAACCAGCCAAGUAGCGUGCAGGAUGACGGCCCUAUGGGUUGUAAACUGCUUUUAUGCGGGGAUAAAGUGACGUACGUGUACGUUUUUGUAGGUACCGCAUGAAUAAGGACCGGCUAAUUCCGUGCCAGCAGCCGC
rnacentral:rRNA from 1 species